UGGCUCAGAGGUUAAAGUGUCUGCCUGGAAUGCAGGAGACUCGGGUUCGAUCCCUGG
rnacentral:tRNA from 1 species